AGUGAACGCUGGCGGUAGGCCUAACACAUGCAAGUCGAACGGCAGCACAGGAGAGCUUGCUCUCUGGGUGGCGAGUGGCGGACGGGUGAGGAAUACAUCGGAAUCUGCCCAGUCGUGGGGGAUAACGUAGGGAAACUUACGCUAAUACCGCAUACGACCUUCGGGUGAAAGAGGGGGAUCGCAAGACCUCUCGCGAUUGGAUGAGCCGAUGUCGGAUUAGCUAGUUGGCGGGGUAAUGGCCCACCAAGGCGACGAUCCGUAGCUGGUCUGAGAGGAUGAUCAGCCACACUGGAACUGAGACACGGUCCAGACUCCUACGGGGGGCAGCAGUGGGGAAUAUUGGACAAAGGGCGCAAGCCUGAUCCAGCCAUACCGCGUGGGUGAAGAAGGCCUUCGGGUUGUAAAGCCCUUUUGUUGGGAAAGAAAUCUUUCAGGCUAAUACCCUGGGAGGAUGACGGUACCCAAAGAAUAAGCACCGGCUAACUUCGUG
rnacentral:rRNA from 1 species